AGAGUUUGAUCCUGGCUCAGGAUGAACGCUGGCGGCGUGCCUAAUACAUGCAAGUCGAGCGAACCACUUCGGUGGUGAGCGGCGAACGGGUGAGUAACACGUAGGUGAUCUGCCCAUCAGACGGGGACAACGAUUGGAAACGAUCGCUAAUACCGGAUAGGACGAAAGUUUAAAGGUGCUUCUGGCACCGCUGAUGGAUGAGCCUGCGGCGCAUUAGCUAGUUGGUAGGGUAAAGGCCUACCAAGGCGACGAUGCGUAGCCGACCUGAGAGGGUGAACGGCCACACUGGGACUGAGACACGGCCCAGACUCCUACGGGAGGCAGCAGUAGGGAAUCUUCGGCAAUGGGCGAAAGCCUGACCGAGCAACGCCGCGUGAAUGAUGAAGGCCUUCGGGUUGUAAAAUUCUGUUAUAAGGGAAGAACGACUUUAGUAGGAAAUGGCUAGAGUGUGACGGUACCUUAUGAGAAAGCCACGGCUAACUACGUGCCAGCAGCCGCGGUAAUACGUAGGUGGCGAGCGUUAUCCGGAAUUAUUGGGCGUAAAGAGCGCGCAGGUGGUUGAUUAAGUCUGAUGUGAAAGCCCACGGCUUAACCGUGGAGGGUCAUUGGAAACUGGUCGACUUGAGUGCAGAAGAGGGAAGUGGAAUUCCAUGUGUAGCGGUGAAAUGCGUAGAGAUAUGGAGGAACACCAGUGGCGAAGGCGGCUUCCUGGUCUGUAACUGACACUGAGGCGCGAAAGCGUGGGGAGCAAACAGGAUUAGAUACCCUGGUAGUCCACGCCGUAAACG
rnacentral:rRNA from 2 species